CCUACGGGUGGCAGCAGUGAGGAAUAUUGGUCAAUGGACGAGAGCCUGAACCAGCCAAGUAGCGUGAAGGAUGACUGCCCUAUGGGUUGUAAACUUCUUUUAUAUGGGAAUAAAACAGGGUAUGUAUACCUUCUUGUAUGUACCAUAUGAAUAAGGAUCGGCUAAAUCCGUGCCAGCAGCCGCGGUAAUACGGAGGAUCCGAGCGUUAUCCGGAUUUAUUGGGUUUAAAGGGAGCGUAGGUGGGUUGUUAAGUUAGUUGUGAAAGUUUGCGGGUCAACCGUAAAAUUGCAGUUGAAACUGGGAGUCUUGAGUGCAGUAGAGGAAGGCGGAAUGCGAGGUGUAGCGGUGAAAUGCGUAGAUAUCACGAAGAACUCCAGUGGCGAAGGCAGCUUACUGGAAUGCAACUGACGCUGAUGCUCGAAAGCGUGGGUAUCAAACAGGAUUAGAUACCCUUGUAGUC
rnacentral:rRNA from 1 species